rnacentral:rRNA from 1 species
AGAGUUCGAUUCUGGCUCAGAACGUACGCUGGCGGCACGCCUAACACAUGCAAGUCGAACGAAGUAGCAAUACUUAGUGGCAGACGGGUGAGUAACAUGUAGGUAUCUACCCUUUGGCCUGGAAUAACACGAGGAAACUUGUGCUAAUACCGGAUAAGUCUUUACGGAGAAAGCUUUAUGCACCAUUGGAUGAGCCUGCACUUGAUUAGUUUGUUGGUGGGGUAAUGGCCUACCAAGACUGUGAUCAAUAGCUGAUUUGAGAGGAUGAUCAGCCACAUUGGGACUGAGACACGGCCCAAACUCCUACGGGAGGCAGCAGUGGGGAAUCUUGCACAAUGGAGGAAACUCUGAUGCAGCGAUGCCGCGUGAGUGAAGAAGGCCCUUGGGUUGUAAAGCUCUUUCGUCGGGGAAGAAAAUGACUGUACCCGAAUAAGAAGGUCCGGCUAACUUCGUGCCAGCAGCCGCGGUAAUACGAAGGGACCUAGCGUAGUUCGGAAUUACUGGGCUUAAGGAGUUCGUAGGUGGUUGAAAAAGUUAGUGGUGAAAUCCCAGAGCUUAACUCUGGAACUGCCAUUAAAACUUUUCAGCCAGAGUAUGAUAGAGGAAAGCAGAAUUUCUAGUGUAGAGGUGAAAUUCGUAGAUAUUAGAAAGAAUACCAAUUGCGAAGGCAGCUUUCUGGAUCAUUACUGACACCGAGGAACGAAAGCAUGGGUAGCGAAGAGGAUUAGAUACCCUCGUAGUCCAUGCCGUAAACGAUGUGUGUUAGACGUCRGAAAUUUAUUUUCAGUGUCGCAGCGAAAGCGAUAAACACACCGCCUGGGGAGUACGACCGCAAGGUUAAGACUCAAAUGAAUUGACGGGGACCCGCACAAGUAGUGGAGCAUGUGGUUUAAUUCGAAGAUACGCGCAGAACCUUACCAACACUUGACAUGUUCGUCGCGACUCUAAGAGAUUAGAGUUUUCGGUUCGGCCGGACGAAACACAGGUGCUGCAUGGCUGUCGUCAGCUCGUGUCGUGAGAUGUUGGGUUAAGUCCCGCAACGAGCGCAACCCUCACUUUUAGUUGCCAUCAUUUAGUUGGGCACUCUGAAAGAACUGCCAGUGAUAAGCUGGAGGAAGGUGGGGAUGACGUCAAGUCCUCAUGGCCCUUACGUGUUGGGCUACACACGUGCUACAAUGGUAUCUACAACAGGAAGCAAGACUGCGAGGUCAAGCAAAUCCUUAAAAGAUACCUCAGUUCGGAUUGCACUCUGCAACUCGAGUGCAUGAAGCUGGAAUUACUAGUAAUCGUGGAUCAGCGUGCCACGGUGAAUGCGUUCCCGGGUCUUGUACACACCGCCCGUCACACCAUGGGAGUUGGUUCUACCUUAAGGCAAGGUUUAAAACCCUUGACCACGGUAUAGUCAGCGACUGGGGUGAAGUCGUAACAAGGUAGCCAAGGG